AAAUUGUGAUGUAGUCGGCCAAUUUAGUAUUAGACAAUAAUGUCAUGCGUUGUGUUCUUGCCGAUGAGUCGAUUUGUCUCAGACAUUUGUGGCCGUGACACCUAGAACCUGCUACUCUCUGCAAAGUAGCUAUCUAACUUUCAGUCUGAGGUUCACAAUGAAGGUUCGCUUGGCGAAAUGGGAAACUUCACUAGCAAGAAAGAAGUGUAAUCCUCAUCAUGACCAACCUGUUCUAACGAGCCCGGAAGUGUUACUAGGAACGUCUAGUGAAUAACUAGUGUCGUCAUGGUGGCAUCGCGGGAUGUGUUUUCACCAAGUUCGAGGGCUGGUUCUGGACCACUGGAUACGUAACAUUAUCAGGUUGGCCACAAAAAAGGGAGGUGCGGCUUUCCAGCAACACGGUGAGACGUCCCCCGUUACGCCACCGAUCGCCAAAGAGAGGGAAGACCCCUCAGCCCCCUUUUUAUCCGGUU